AUGUUAGUGGCAGUGCCUGACAUCAGAGCGAUAGCAACAGCAGCCCAACCCUCCUCUCCUCUCCUGUGGCAGCGCAGGGAGGCAGAGCUGGGUGCCCCUCCGCAGUGCCCGGCCCCACCACCACCCAGCGGGAUUAUGCCAAAAGGAAAGGGGAAGGACGCGGGGCCCCUGCUGGGAUGCAGCCACACGUGUCUGGGGGCAGCCUCCAUGCCUGGGACAGCUUGCCCACGGAGCCUGGUGGGCUGGCAAGGAGGAACUGGCCCCAGGGGGCUGGCAGGAGAAGUCUGCAAAAGGAAAUCAGCCUUUGAGGCUCUCAUAUUUUCAAGAAGAAUACAAACAGUGGAGGAAACCCAGUCAAUCAGAAACACCUGCCAGUCAACCAACAAAAUGCAGAGGUUUGCUGUAGAUUCUCCAAAGCCAGUUCUUCCUUUUGGCAUUACUUCAGCUGCCCUUAACGUGCCAUCGGCUGCUGCAGCACCGAUACCUGCAACAGGCUUGCCCUGGGAGAGUUCUGAAGCUAAGAUCACUGCUGACCCUCUCCUAAGAAGUGCCUUGGACUGUUUAAUCUAGACUGGCUUAUUUUUCUGCGCUUAUCCCCCCCAGAUUAUUUUACCAUUACCUACAUAUCCAUCCUCCUCUCAUACACGAUACACAGCAAUGUUAGCAGCUCACCUCUCUCCGGUAAAUGAAAUAAAUUUGAUUCCAGUCUAGAAAUUAGAUACAAGUCUCCUGAGCUCAAAGCUAUGACCUGACCCUCAUGAAUUGUUACAUAUUUAGAAAUGAGUAUCAGAGAACUUUUUGAGAAGGCGGAUCUAGAGAAAUUUCAAAAUCACAAAACGAAGCUCUCUAAGACAGAAGAAUCACGAGAUGCUACAAACAAGGCACUGAGCCUCAGGUGAGGAGAUGUGGUGUCAGUUCUUUCAUGUGCCCAUGCUUGACACGUAAAGGUAACCUCUCCUGGUCAGCCUACCACCCCCAUCGCUGUCAGGGAGCCAAGCCGCUACAAUGAAGGGGACACACCUCACUCACUAGCACCAGCUUGUCACUGAUCCGGGCAACCAGAAGGCCUCCAGAGGUCCUUUCCACCUCAGUCAUUCUAUGACUCUGAUCUGCUCUGGUCUGCACGCAUCCUCUAAAAAGACAACAUUCAGGAGGGCUGGCUGUGUCACCACAUCCAGGGCCAAAUGCUGUCAUUAUCAUAAAUCAUGGACUCCAUCUUUCAUACUUGUAGAAUACACAGUAUGUCUCCCAGACAACUGCAGACUUCCUAGAGCAUCUGCACGAACACCAAACAUCAAGUUUAUUCUCUAAGAAGAUGGAAACAAAUCCCAUAGGAAAUGUGUUUACCUUGCUAGUGACGUGAAAUAUGAUCUACACUAAUACCACAAUCAACUUCUGACUACAAAAACUGAACAAUUACAAAACUUUGAACAUUCCUAGCGUAAGCCCUUGCAGCACAGCUUUGAUGUCCUUCAAUUUCGGUCCACAACAUACCUGGAAUUUUACAUUCUGAAUCUCCUCAACUGACAUAAAUUGGUUUUGAGAUUAUUUCAACAUUUUACCCCUGAAUUUGCCACAUGUACUCUUAGACAUAACAUUUUUGUUUCAGAUAAAAACAGCGGUGAUAAUCAUUAAAUUAAGACCCCAUGCGAUGCAUAUUUACAUUCUGGAGCUGAAUCUGGUGAUAAGAAACAGAUGAAUGCAAAAUGCCUUCUACAGAGCGGAAUUAAAACCAUGCAUUAGUGAAGCGUGUUGCUGAUUUGACAAAUGAUGUAUCAGAUAUUGAUUAUUGAUUUUUUCUUUGCCUCAAAUAAAUGCUGAAAGCGCUCUAGUAACUCUUAGAGAAUUUUAUGAUCAUUGGUACAAACUGCCAUACUCAUACAACUCCUGACUCCCUGGGUUUCAAAUGAUUUCUUUGUACUAACCGAGAACAAAGCUACUCAAUGUAAGACAUGCUCUCCAUUUUUCCUGAUGCUGGAUUUCCCCCCUUUUGCUUUGAAGCUUUAAAGACAAGUAAAAGAUUCUGAGCUUUAAUGUUCAUCUCCUGCUCUAACUUUGAAAUCAGGCUCAGAGCACUGUGAACGGACUCAGGGACGUUUAAGCUCCUCUCUGUUUUUGAGCACAUCAGUAAUAGUAACCAGAUUAAUGGCAGAAAGCUCUCGAGCAGUAGGGUUAGAAUUGUGCACUCGUGCUAGAAGUCAGAAAAUAUCAGAAUCUACUGAAUUGGAAGACUGUAACCAAAGCAUACGCUGGAAAUAAAGAAGGAAAGAACACCAGGAACUACUCAAAUUGUUUUGCCAUGUUGACAUGCCCACUGCAGUGUGACUGAGGGCAGCAAAAACAAGCCUCAAUCCUUCUUAAACUGUACAAAUGAAUCCCCCAACCCAAUCAAUUAGUAAAGAUCAAGAAAAAGAUUCACUACGAGAACAAACCACAAGGAUAGAAGAAGAGAACAAGGAAAAGACCCUCUGGAGAUGCCCUCCUUCUAUUAACCCCAGGAUGAGAAAGUGUAUUUAAAUCAGAAGGAUACCUGAAAAAGCACAGUGCCGAGCUCUUGUCUAGGCUCUGAAUGAUGGACUGCAGAGCUCCAGCGGAGGCUGAAAGAAAGAAAAAAAAUAGUAAUAUGAAAAGGCAAUACAAAAAAAGGGGGGAAAAAAAGGCAGAAAUAUGGCAGCCCUGUAUAUAUCAUUUGGAGGAUGUGGAAACCAAGCACCAAGGCUGGUCCACAGCACUAGGAGGGAAGACAGCUACGCAUCACCAGAGCAACCAUUAAAGACAAAAGAUGUGAUGAAAUCAACAUGGUUGCACACUGGAAAAGCUAUGAGCUGUGUAAUAAAAACUAAUUAAAAAGACAUUUGGGAUGUCUCAGAUCAUAAGCUCUCAUUUGCCACAGUGUUCUGAGGUCCAAGGCUGAGAUUCAGCCACGCAGUGGAUAAAACGCAAAAAGGUCCAAAUAUCAAAAUGAAAUUUGUAAUGCGCAGAUUAAGGCUAACAUAAAAUCUUGUAUUUUAGGUUCCUAUUAUAGAUAAGCAAAGACUUUUGGUUUGCUUUUUCUCAUUUCCAGAUGAAGAAGAGAGAAUAUAAUGUUACAUAAAGAGCAGAAAACCG
ensembl:lncRNA